GUGCUACCUCCGAUAAAUAUAUUUGAGCUAACAUCAUCAACACACACUAUUGAACCUUGGUUGGUAUAUAUUAACGGUCGUCAACUAAUUCUUGAUACUUUGUAAUAGUAGUUUUAGUUUUUGAUUAGGGGUAAGUUGAGACCUUAUCCCCCGAUGCUCAUUUUGAUAACUAGCAUAUUGUAUGAUUUGAGACCGGAAGGAAUGUCUUGAAAAAUAGUUCAGGAUUAUACUAUUUAUAUGUUAGGAUGAGCGCAUACCUGUAAGCAAGUUCAGUUUUGUGAACUGGAGAGCUUUAAAAUUAUUUGACCUACAUCUUACGAUUUAACAAAAUGCUAAUUUGUUGCAUGUUUCAGUAUCAAUCGUAUUUAAAUGCAUGUAUUUUUUCAUGAACUAUAGUCAUCGACAUGAUCAUGAAAGUUGCAUGAUUUAUUUUAAAUUGGGUAGCUGAGUCCUGACCAUAUCCUUGAGUAAUAUUGAUGCAUUGUUAUGCAUAAACUGAGCUGGUAUCACUCGACUAGCAUUCCAGUAGUACACUCUGUAUCGGGAAAGGUAACUGAAGGGCACGUGGAUGAAAGAACUACACUGGAAUUGGAAAUUCUACUUGUUUAUUUCAUUGCAAGACAUGCCUAUAUACACAAACAAUAGUGAAUUCAAAAUAAAGAAUAAUGAAAAAUAUCCUAUAGACUUGUCUAAUUUCUAUUUGCUAUACUAUAACAAACUUUGUCCUAUCUAUAAUUGAAUCUUCCCAUCACUAUCUAAAUAUGCUUGUUGAUCAAGAUUGUCUUGAUCGUGUGGCUCUUGUGAUUUUGUCAACUUUGGAUGGUUGAGAUGAAACCAUUAUUUGGUGAUUUUCAUCGAGUGAAAAUUGAUGACAUCUUUGGUCGUAGUUGGAUAAUUCUUUGAGCCUAAUGUUUUAAAUGGCCCAAUGCCAUAUUUCGUCUCUUUCUUCUUUUUGGUCAUUCUCUUUGUAUUUCAAUUUCCUUUCUUCUUCAAGACAUUUGGUAAUUUGAUAAUUUCUACAUCCCCCCUUAAAUUGGAGAGGAAUGAAAUGAUGCCCAACUUGCGAAGAACACCAAAAUGUGUUGGUCUAGAUAACGAUUUGGUAAGCAAAUCGGCUAAUUGAUCUCGCGAAGGAAGGAAUAAAGAAGAUUAAGGGCCCAAGUAUUGUUGUCGGAUAAAAUGGCAAUCAAGCUCCACAUGUUUGGUUCGCUCAUGAAAGACGGGGUUGCCAGCAAUAUGAAUUGCAGCUUGACUAUCAGAGUGGAUCGGAACUGGAAGAGAUGGAGAAAUGGAGAGAUCUGCUAGCAAUCAUAAGUUCGGCUACCAAUCUUUCAUAGAUCGAUACUGCCUCUGCAGAUGAUAAUUAAAUUGAUGCUUGCUUUUUUAUUUCCAGGAAAUGGGGGGAACGCUAAACUAAUGAAAAAACCACCGAUCGAUCUUCGAGUGUCUUUGUAUGAAGCCCAAUCAGCAUCGCAAAAGGCAAUCAAAGAGAAUGAAGAAUUAGAAGACAUAAAUAGACCUUGUCUAGGAUUUUUCUCGUGUAUUGUAGAACUCUUAAAGCCGCAUUGAAAUGACCAACACAAGGUUCUUGCAUAUAUUGACUUAAAGUCAAUAUAACAAAAGAAAGAUCCUGCCUUUUGUGUGUGAGAUAGUUUAACUUACCUACUAAAUGUCUAUAAAAAGUAGGAUCAGUUAGUAGAGGUCUAGAACUGCCAAAAUAGUAGGAAGAUGAGAAACAUCAAACUCAUUAAGAAGGUCCAAUGUGUAUUUUCUUUGGCUGAGAAUAACACCUUGUGGUUCUCUAGGAAUUUCUAUCCCCAAUAAGUGAUGCAAGUGACGAAGAUUUUUGAUUUUGAA